rfam:Parcubacteria bacterium C7867-006 C7867_00296, whole genome shotgun sequence.
UUUUUUAAGAGUUUGAUCCUAGCUCAGGAUGAACGCUGGCGGUGUGGAUAAGGCAUGCAAGUCAAACGGCCGCAAGGCAGUGGCGAACGAGGUAGUAACACGUGGGUACAUCCCUUUUAGUCAGGAAUAACUAGUCGAAAGAUUAGCUAAUACUUGAUAGUCUCUUCGGAGUAAAGAUUUAUCGCUAAAAGAAUGGCCUGCGAAGUAUCAGCUAGUUGGUAGUGUAAUGGACUACCAAGGCUAUGACGCUUAGGGGAGCUGAGAGGCUGACCCCCACCGAUGGUACUGAGACACGGACCAUACACCUACGGGUGGCUGCAGCCGAGAAUAUUCGACAAUGGACGAAAGUCUGAUCGAGCGACACCGCGUGAUGGAUGAAGACCCUCUGGGUCGUAAACAUCUUUUAUGAGGGAGAAAGUUUAUUGAUAGUACCUCACGAAUAAGGGGUUGCUAAACUCGUGCCAGCAGCAGCGGUAAUACGAGUGCCCCGAGCGUUAUCCGGAAUCAUUGGGCGUAAAGGGUGUGUAGGUGGUAAUGUUAGUCGGCUGUUAAAACCUGGGGCUCAACCCCAGAUCUGUGGCCGAAACGGCAUAACUAGAGGAUGGCAGGGAUGUAUGGAACUCAUGGAGUAGGGGUGAAAUCCGUUGAUAUCAUGGGGAACACCAAACCCUCCGAGAGGCGAAGCUAACGCGUUAAGUUGUCCGCCUGGGUAGUACGACCGCAAGGUUAAAACUCAAAGGAAUAGACGGGGACUUGCACAAGCAGAGGAUUAUGUGGUUUAAUUCGAUGAUAAACGAAGAACCUUACCAAGGUUAGAAAUCUAGCUGAAGACAGUAAGAAACUAUUGUCGUCUCACAAGGACAGUUAGACAGGUGAUGCAUGGUCGUCGUCAGUUCGUGAUUUGAAUUGUUCCCUUAAGUGGGGUAACGAACGCAACCCUCGUUGUCUGUUACAAGUUGUCAGGCGAGACUGCCCAGCUUUUUGGUCAGAAUGAACAAAAAGCUAAUAAGACAGCGUGAACGGAAACGAAGUUUGGAUGAUUGAUUAAACAUUUUUAAGUUAAGUAUUUAAGGAAUAGAUCGGAAGACUCCGUUUCUGUCACUUUUGUUCCAUUGUGAAUAAAAAGCUGGGAGGAAGGCGAGGAUGACGCCAGAUCAGCAUGUCCCUUUGAUACCUUGGGCUACACACAUAAUACAAUGGCGGCCACAACGCGUUGCGACGGGGAAACCCUGAGCCAAUCGUAAUAAAAGCCGCCCCAGUUCAGAUUGGGGGCUGAAACUCGACCCCAUGAAGUUGGAUUUGCUAGUAAUCGCGGGUCAGCCAUACCGCGGUGAAUACGUUCUCAAGUCUUGUACUCACCGCCCGUCAACUCAAGGGAACCGGGAAUACCCGAAGGCUAGGUUUGCCUAGACCACGGUAAAUUCGGUAACAGGGAGUAAGUCGUAACAAGGCACGGCUAGCGGAAGCUGGUCGUGGAAUAAUUCAAUU